UGGGUAUUUAUGGAAAUAUAAAUGUAUUUUGGACCAAAAAGUCGACUGGACUGGAUAAACUGGACCUCUGCUGAUGCAAAGUGGCCGUUUUUAAUGGAAUAUUAUUGAUUACUGGAUCACUACGAGGCUUCAAAGCAAUGGCUGAAAAUCCACUAAUCCUGUGUGGCAGCACUUCACUGAGCCAACACCAGGCAAGGCUCGGUGCAACAUCUGCCAUUCUCUGGUACCAUCAGCAGAUUGUGGAUUUGGAGCAUCUGGGUCAGGCGCUCCAGCAGCACAUUCUCUUUGUUUGGGUUCUGCUUUGUUUUCACUUUACAACAUUUAC